GCCUGUUCGGUUUCUUUAGCUGAGGCCCAGUUAUCUGAGCCCGGUCCCUUAGAUUGUGAUGGGCUCAAAAGAUGGAAUUGGAAGAAUGUGUCUGGGACGAAAAAUGAAAAUAGAAGGCAGCCAUGUUCGCGGGGAAGACACCUCUUUCGGGCUAGGUGGUGGUCCUUCGGCCCAAAAUCGCAGUUAGAGAACAAUCCAUUUACGGUCUAAUUUGCGGGUCCGGGUCGAAAAAUCCUCCUGCUUUUAGAUUCAGAUCUUUGAUCGACCACUUCGCCAUUGCGGUCUGCAGAGCCCGAGAGAGCGCAAUGCAGAAUAAGUGUGCAGAGCAAGUCGGUUGGAGCUGCUCGCCACGGCUCCCACGCCGAAGAGGGGCCGGACAUUCGGCAGUAGCAACACCAGCUCCACCGCCGUAGCUGCAGCCGAAACGGCGGCUCCGUCGAACCUCCUCGGCACAUCUCUCCACGUUGACAGCUCCUUCGCGGUUCAAUUUUUCUAAACCAUUUCUUUCAUAAUAUUGUUCGAGUUCAUAGGCUACGACUGUACCAAAAUUUAUUUAACAUCCCACUUUCUUUUAUAGGUGUUAAUAUCCGAUUUUUUUUUUUUUUAAUAUAAACCCUAAUACAUGAAUUACGCUUUAAUAUAAUAUCAAUCUUAGAGCUAGACCUAAAGGUGCUACUAAUAUCUUGGAAUAUUUACAAGGAUAAAGUUUCGAUCCCUUAAAUUCUGUAAAAUAUACUAUGGAAUUUCAAGACUGCAUAGACUGUGCAAACAAUUCUCUUUUAUGGCGUCAAGUUGGACUUUUGUAUUGUUUUAAAUUGAAUUGAAGAGGACUCGAAGGAUAUUUUGAUAUGUGUUGUCAAUUUUCUGUUUGACUGUUUAGUUGUACUCAAAUGCAUUGCUGGUAUUACUCUGCAUGUCCAUUAUGGGAGGCUAUGUUGAGAUUAGCAUAUCUAUAAAUCACUGUUGCACUGCAUGUUUACGCCAAAUGCUGGGAAGAGUGGAUCUAUGGGGCAAGGUGGGGCAUGGGGAUAUGGUAUAACCGAAGUAUAGCAUAGGAAGUGGGAGCAGAAAUGGCAAAGUGUGUAUGAAUUAUGAGAUAGGAGCAAGAAAAAUGCAGAAUAGAAUUUUAUGGGUGAUGUGAAGUAGUAAAUUGCAUCAGAAUCUACCUAUAACACUUUGGUGCAACAGAUGGGGAUUACAAAAAAGUAUCAAGAAAGUUGCAGUAAACUGAAAUAGGAAUUAUAGAUAUUACAAGAUUUUUAUUUUUAUUUUUUAUUUUUACUUAUCAAAAAUAUAUAUAUAUAUAUAUAUUGUAAAGAAACAUAUGAGCCCUGUGAGUUUUUUGAGAAUCGAAGGAUAAUAAAAAAACUAACAUUCUAUAACAUCAUCCAUAAUGGAUUACAUGUAACAAUUUCUUCUCAUUCAUUCAUACUUCCCCUCUCGUUACAGUCUUUGUUUGAGAUGUUUGGCAGGUAUUGACAACUUGCUUUUGACACAUUUUUCCCAACUUUUAAAAAAAAUUGUGUUGUUUCACAAAAAACAAAUUGGGCCUAGAUUUUUCUGGUGUUGAUGAUCUGAUAUGUUCAGCUAUAGAUGUUUUUGAUCCCGUCUGAUUGUCAUGCUCUUUCUAGUUCAAAACAAUAAGACGUUAGUCCUGGCUCUUCAAAGUGGAUUAAAGGGUGAGUUAACCCGGGCAUUGAAUACUCUCACUCUACUCUCAUUGAAGGAAAAGGAUGACAUGCGCAGAGAUGCAAGAAUACCUGGAUUGCUGGAUGCUGUUCUCCAAGUUAUUGAUGAGCGUGAUAUAGCGCUUCCAACAGAACUCAUAAGGAUGCUGAGGGUCAGAAAACUAGGCGCAAAUUACACUGUAACCGGAUUUGGGAUUGAAUUGGGGGCAUUGGGUUCAAAUGGCACUCCCCUGCAUUCCCGGUGAGCUUGACAUGGAGUUUUCUUUCUUCCCCGCGCCACCCACCCCCCCCCCCCCCCCCCAAAAAAAAAAAAAAACCCAAACGAAAAAAGAACUACAAAAAUUCUGUGUGAUCCAAGUGUUGAGUACAUUAAUUUCACUUCAAAUUUUUGGAUCAUGAGCAUGGGUCAGUGUUCUUACUCGUUUGAACUUCCUUUUCGAGAUCUUUUGACCCGAUUAUGGAAAAUAAAACAGAGAUCGCACCGAAUUGCUUGUAUCGUGGUUAAUUUUGUUUAUAUAUGUUUCUGUGCACACAGAAUAUGAAGAUAAUCGAAGCUGAACAAUUAUCUCA